rnacentral:rRNA from 1 species
CCCUUAGAUGUUCUGGGCCGCACGCGCGCUACACUGAUGCAUUCAACGAGCCUAGCCUUGACCGAGAGGUCCGGGUAAUCUUUGAAACUGCAGCGUGAUGGGGCUAGAUUAUUGCAAUUAUUAAUCUUCAACGAGGAAUGCCUAGUAAGCGUGAUUCAUCAAAUCGCGUUGAUUACGUCCCUGCCCUUUGCACACGCCGCCCGUCGCUCCUACCGAUUGAGUGUGUUGGUGAGGAGUUUGGAUUGGCCUCGGAAGGUGGUUCGCCACCGUCCGUAGCUGAGAAGUUCUCCAAACCGCCCCACUUAGAGGAAGGAGAAGUCGUAACA